CCCCGCGUCUAGAUGCCCGGCUCAGCGUGUCUUCCCUCUAUCGACAGGACCGGGUAACCCGCCGAACCCCCCCCGUGGUAAGGAUCAGAGCUUGUUGUUAUUCUUCCCGAACCAGGAAUGACUACCAAGAAGAAGGCAUAAUCUUGUGUUGAUUAUUUCCCUGCCCUUUGUACACACCACAACAAAA
rnacentral:rRNA from 1 species